AACGCACCUUGCGCUCCUUGGUAUUCCGAGGAGCAUGCCUGUUUGAGUGUCGUGUAAUUCUCAACCUAUAAAUCCUUGUGGUUUUUAGGCUUGGACUUGGAGGCUUUUGCUGGCUUUACCGUCGGCUCCUCUUAAAUGCAUUAGCUUGAUUCCUUGCGGAUCGGCUCUCAGUGUGAUAAUUAUCUGCGCUGUGACCGUGAAGCGUUUGGCGAGCUUCUAACCGUCUCUUUGAGACAAACACUUUGACAUCUGACCUCAAAUCAGGUAGGACUACCCGCUGAACUUAA
rnacentral:misc_RNA from 1 species